UACAGGGGGUGCAAACGUUGCUCGGAAUCAUUGGGCGUAAAGCGCACGUAGGCGGUCUGUUAUGUCGGAUGUGAAAGCCCUCGGCUCAACUGAGGAAGUGCAUCCGAAACUGGCAGGCUAGAGUACUAAAGAGGGUCGCGGAAUUCCCGGUGUAGAGGUGAAAUUCGUAGAUAUCGGGAGGAACACCUGCGUCGAAGGCGGGUUGCUGGGCCGACACUGACGCUGAGGCGCGAAAGCCAGGGGAGCGAACGGG
rnacentral:rRNA from 1 species